GCGGAAGUGGCGAAAUUGGUAGACGCACCAGAUUUAGGUUCUGGCGCCGCGAGGUGUAAGAGUUCAAGUCUCUUCUUCCGCACCA
rnacentral:tRNA from 3 species